UACGGGGGGGGCAAGCAUUGUUCGGAAUUACUGGGCGUAAAGGGCUCGUAGGCGGCCAACUAAGUCAUACGUGAAAUCCCUCGGCUUAACCGGGGAACUGCGUCUGAUACUGGAUGGCUUGAGUUCGGGAGAGGGAUGCGGAAUUCCAGGUGUAGCGGUGAAAUGCGUAGAUAUCUGGAGGAACACCGGUGGCGAAGGCGGCAUCCUGGACCGAUACUGACGCUGAUGAGCGAAAGCCAGGGGAA
rnacentral:rRNA from 1 species